GUGCCAGCAGCCGCGGUAAUACAGAGGUCUCAAGCGUUGUUCGGAAUCACUGGGCGUAAAGGGUGCGCAGGCUGCGCGGGCAGUCAAUUGUGGAAUUCAAGGGCUCAACCCUUGGGCUGCACUUGAUACUUCCGCGCUAGAGCCCUGGAGAGGAGUCUGGAAUUCUCGGUGUAGCAGUGAAAUGCGUAGAUAUCGAGAGGAACGCCAACGGCGAAAGCAAGACUCUGGACAGGUGCUGACGCUCAUGCACGAAGGCCAGGGGAGCAAACGGGAUUAGAUACCCCGGUAGUCC
rnacentral:rRNA from 1 species